rnacentral:rRNA from 1 species
AAUCAACGCUGGCGGCGUGCCUAACACAUGCAAGUCGAACGCGAAAGCCCCUUCGGGGGUAAGUAGAGUGGCGUCCGGGUGAGUAACACGUAGGUAAUCUACCUUCGGGUGGGGAAGUAACUCGCCGAAAGGACGAGCUAAUACCGCAUAAUGCAGCGGCACCUAAUGGUGAUUAGUUGUUAAAGCGGGGGAUCGUAAGACCUCGCGCCUGAAGAGGAGCCUGCGGCAGAUUAGCUAGUUGGNGAGGUAAUGGCUCACCAAGGCUUCGAUCUGUAGCUGGUCUGAGAGGACGGCCAGCCACACUGGCACUGACACACGGGCCAGACUCCUACGGGAGGCAGCAGUGGGGAAUCUUGCGCAAUGGGCGAAAGCCUGACGCAGCGACGCCGCGUGAGGGAUGACGGCCU